UACGUAGGGUGCGAGCGUUGUCCGGAAUUAUUGGGCGUAAAGGGUUCGUAGGCGGUGCGGCAAGUUGGGAGUGAAAUCUCUGGGCUUAACCCAGAGGCUGCUUCCAAAACUGCUGUGCUUGAGUGUGGGAGAGGCGCGUGGAAUUGCAGGUGUAGCGGUGAAAUGCGUAGAUAUCUGCAGGAACACCCGUGGCGAAAGCGGCGCGCUGGACCACUACUGACGCUGAGGAACGAAAGCUAGGGGAGCAAACAGG
rnacentral:rRNA from 1 species